rnacentral:lncRNA from 1 species
CGCGCCCGAAGAACUUGGGGCUGCAGGGCCGGGCGCCCGCAGCGCCGCGCAGCGCCCGCAGCAGCAGCAGCCAACACAGCACGGCGGCCCCGCGGCCCCACAUGGCACCUCCGGGGGUCCCCGAGUGCGGCAGCCCCGAGCCCGGCGGUGGUCCCGGUGGCACUGUGGGUGGUCCCAACGGCACCCGCCGCCCUUCCCGGGGUUCUCCCGCACCCUCCGCCGCUACCGGGGACAGCCG